AAAGGCUUAGUGGCGGACGGGUGAGUAACGCGUGGGUAACCUGGCCCAUACAGGGGGAUAACACUUAGAAAUAGGUGCUAAUACCGCAUAACAACAGAAAGCGCAUGCUUUUUGUUUGAAAACCAAGGUGGUAUGGGAUGGACCCGCGUCUGAUUAGCUGGUUGGCGGGGUAAAGGCCCACCAAGGCGACGAUCAGUAGCCGGCCUGAGAGGGUGGACGGCCACAUUGGGACUGAGACACGGCCCAAACUCCUACGGAAGGCAGCAG
rnacentral:rRNA from 1 species